UACGUAGGUGGCAAGCGUUGUCCGGAUUUACUGGGCGUAAAGAGCGCGCAGGCGGUCGGCUAAGUCGAAUGUGAAAGCCCCUGGCUCAACCAGGGAGGGUCAUUCGAUACUGUUCGACUCGAAGGCAGGAGAGGGAAGUGGAAUUCCGGGUGUAGUGGUGAAAUGCGUAGAUAUCCGGAGGAACACCAGUGGCGAAGGCGACUUUCUGGCCUGUUCUUGACGCUGAGGCGCGAAAGCUAGGGGAGCAAACGGG
rnacentral:rRNA from 1 species